AUUUAUUCUCUCUAAGAUCCAUUGUCACCAAAAAGAAUUGCUAAAUAAUCCAUAAGUAAGAGCACUUUCCAAGUGGUUAUUGUUAAGAUUGACCAAACUUAUGCUUGAUGUAUUGAAGUAAGACUAGACCGAGCCAGAUAAAUUGUUCUAUGAUAUAUUUAAGAGGCCAAAAGUAUCGAGGUUGAUACUAAAGAUUUCAAGUCUCCGUCAAUAUAUGGUAUAGUUAGAAAUUUACUUAUACAUGCACAAUAAAAUUUAAAAAUAAUUUUAGUUCCCUUCAAGGAUCUUCUUUUUAUAUAGAUAGAUAUCGUGAUUAGAAUUUUACAUUUAGCAAGUCCUUCAAACCCCUUUGAGAAUUUUGAUAAUAAACAAUCAAGAUCUUUGCACCCCUUUGUGAGUCACGAUCUUUUCAUACCACAUUUGUCUAAUUGUCUAGCCUUUGAUGGUAAGCCGCACACGAGAACAAACAUAAGAGAUUUUGGUUUCUCUUUCUGGUAAUUAUAAAUAUAUUUUUAUGCAGUUUACCCACCAUUAAACAUAAGUUAGUCAAAUAUUUAAUCCAAAAAACUUGUAAUUGCAUCAUUCGAAAAUAUUAUUUUAGGUUUUACUAGGUAACGUUUAAAACACCAAAAAACUAUCUUGAUUAUGAAAUAUAUUAAAAAUUACCGUUAUCCAAAAAUAGAACCCAAAAGAAAAAUCUAAUAAUAAUACUGAAAAUACUAUCUUGUAACUGAAAUGUUUUAAUACUCCAUCCUUCAUGCCUCCCAUUAAACACCUCUUCCUAAAAAAGAAAAACACCUCAAAAAUCUGAUUUGAUUGAAGAAGAAGAAAGGCUUUCGUUGUUUGACCACACCGUGAUUGCUACACUCGGUGGGAUCAUAGAAAUCGCCAUAUCUACAACCGAAAAUCUCCAUCUCGAGAGAGAUAUUUCACACUCUGAAUCAGUAUAUUUACGAAAAUAUCUCAGAUUUGGGAUAUGUUUUUCACCUAGUUUAUAUGCCAUUUGUAUAUUUGGAAAUUUUUUUUGGGAUUUGUUUAUAUACUUGUCUUUCGUUGAAUCGAUAGAAGAGAGAAAAAAAAAUGACUGCCUAGAAAUUAUUCUAAACAUUGUGCAAGUUUGGUAAACUAUUUUAGAGUUUGAGUGUCAUACAUUGUUCUUGCGAUAUGUCUUCAUGUCUGGGUACUAUAGAACUCGUGAAAUCUAUAAAAUUUGAAUACAUGGUUCGAAAUCCCUGAUACUAGAAUGUAUUGACAUAUGUUUUAAUUUCUGAUAUGUUGCAAAGUUACCAUGGAAAUUCUCUUGCAUAUUGACCAACACCAUGUGCAUGUUUCAGAUAUGUAGUAGACAUUAUACAUCCAUUUAGCCUUAUACGAUUAUAUGAUAUUUGAUUUCGAAUAAUUUUCAGCUAAUAUGUAUAAUAUAGUCAUCCCUGUUAUUGUAUCGCAUGCAAAGAUCAUGCAAAUGUAGUUGUAAUAAACGGAAUGAACACAUUUGGGCUACUCACACCAUUUGACACGGCUGUGUUUAUAGAAAUCAAAAUGUAUUAGAUGUAAAUGUGUGUUUAAAUGAGUAACAUAUGUUACCUAAUUUAAUAUUCUUUUAAUUUAGAAGUCUUCAAUGUGUUCAUUUUAUUAACAAAAUACAUCAUUUAUUGAAAUAAAAGAUAACAUAGUAUUUUUUAAAUAUUUACUACAAUUAAGGUGGGUGGCGUAAUUUCCACAAACUUAAUUAAUCUAAUUAGUUAAACUUGUUCUAUGAGUUAAUUAAUCUAAUCAAUUAACUGAAGUCCAUAUCCAUUAAUAAACAAUCCAAAUAAUUAAUUUUAUAAAUGUCCAACACUUGAUUUAAUUUAUAAUAUCAUUCUACUAGUUCUCCCUUUUAUGUGGAACUCUAAGAAGUUCUGAUCACGAUAUCGAAUGACAUGAAUUAUUAUUUUGAUAUAAUCGGAAUAAGAAAAAAAUAAAUUUCUUUUUAAUUUAUCAUUAAUUUUCCUAGUUUAGUUAAUUCAUAGUCAUUGUUCCACAAUAUGUAAGGGCAUUACAUGUGAUGAAAAUAUCACGUGGUACAAAAAAAAAAAAAAAGUCAAAUUUGUCAGUUUACCAUUAGAUUAUAAUCCCUUUGCCUAUGUGAUUCGAUCAAUUGUGAGAUAUGAAAGUUUGCGAAUCUCGACUAUAGAUCGUAUCUUUUAUUCAACUCUUAAAACAAUGAUAAUCGAAACUCUUUUCAACUUACAUACUUACCUUGGACAAUUAUUUCAAUAUCAAUUUAACUGAAUGGAACAUAAAUACAAUCUCUUACUAUCUAACAGUAUCGAAUUCUCUAUUGAUCCUUCACAACAUUCAUAUGAUUUUUUAACAUGCCUAAACAAUGCCAUAUUGGUGACUCCUGGUAAAGCAACAUCCAAUGUUACACCCCACUCAUUAUAGUCAAAGUCAACAAAUUAUUUAAUCAAAGUCCAUGAAAAAAAUUCAAUGGGUCAAAGUCGGUCAAAAUAAGGACUUAAGUUGAACAAAUAAUUUCAUGGGACUUAAUUUUUAAUUACUAAUACAUGAAAAGGGCUAGAGAUAAAAUAAAAUAGGAAUUAAUGGACUUAGUUCUCUAUUACUAAGGGCUAAAAUUUAUAUUAUAAGAAGACUAAGGAUUUGAUUUGCAUUUACAUUGUAUUAAUCUUUUAAAAUAAAAGGAAAGGGGCUCAUUUUACAAAGGAAGAAACUAGAAGGAGAGAGAAAUCAAGAAAGGGAAAAAAGGAAGAAGAAAAGGAAAGAAAGAGAGAAAAAAGAAGUGCUAGUUUUCAUAGUAAUUUGAUUUCCAGAAAGUGUUAUUUCUAUUAAUGGUUUCGGUGAUACUUUCCAAUAUACAGAAUUUGGUGCCACAUUUCAAUAGUCUUGAAAUACAAUGCUGGUUUUGAUAAUAUUUUGAUUUUCUUGGAAUUUUAGUAUGAAAACCAAAUUAAGUAUUAAAUACUGGGAAUUAGCUGUUGAAAUAACUUAUAUAAAGGUGGAUAUGUUAUUAGUGACACUAAUUGGUAUUGUGAUAUUACACUGAUAAUAAGACUCCAAGUUCUUAUUAGUAAAUUAUUAUUUUUAUUUCUAAUGGUAGGAAAAAUGCUCAAAGCACCUUAGUGAGGAGAUAUGAUAUCUUGGGACGAGUGCUUUGGUAUUUGAACGUGAGGAGGUGAUGAGAAUUUUGAAGUCACGAUCGAUCUACAAAUUGUUGAGUAGAAAAACUUAUAUAUUUUCAAAUAUUUAUAAAGUACUUAUACUAUUAUAUUACGUAUGAUUAUGUGAAUUAUUUGUUUAGUUACAUUAUUGAUACGGAAAUGUUCUUUCACUGUGAUAUAUAUGGAAUUCAAAGAUUGUAUAUGGAUUAAUUGUGAACUGGAAGGUAAUACAUAUGAUAUCAAGAUCGACUAGAAGAGUACCCAUGAUUAUACACUUUUUUUUAGUUC
rnacentral:lncRNA from 1 species